UGAGGAGACCAGCAAAUUAUCACCUCUAUAACACUGAGUAGUGGGGGACACUGCUUAAUGCCUGUCGCAUUCAUGAAAAUACAGAGUCAGGUAAACAGAUAAGGAAAUUUCUAAUUGAAUUAGAUCCUUCCUGACCAUGCUGGCCGGCACAUUCAAUUGGCAAACAUUCAUGCUGCUGCAGGGGAAUGGGAUGUAGCGGCUGAAGCAAGAAGGCAUAUGAAAGAAUAUGGAGUAUCCAAACUUCCAGGAUGCAGCACAAUCAUUCUAGAUGGGGCUGUUCAUGGAUUUUUGGCUGGGGAUGGAUCCCAUCCUCAAAUGAAAGAGAUUUAUUGCAUGUGGUACAACAUAGCUGAACAACUAAGACAAGAAGGAUAUAAAACUGCAACACAGAAAUCUAUUACAUGAUAUCAAGGAUGAGGAGAAAGAAAUUGCCAUAAAUCAGCAUGGUGAGAAGCUGGUUAUUGAAUUUAGACAAUCAGUACAAAAUGAAUAACAGCAAUUUGGGUAGUUACGAAUCUGAGAAUGAGGACUGCCACAUGGUAAUGAAACUCAUUUCCCAGAUUUAUUAUAAGGAGAUUUUCAUGCAGGGUAGAACUCGUUUCUGCCUUUUCAGUGACAGGAAUUUUACGAGUGGUGAUUACUGGUGAAGAGAGUGAGAGGCAGCAUAAAAAUAGCAACCACAUUAUGUUCACCGCAAAAUCAAUGUAAAGAAUUUUCAUCUCAAUUAACAUAAAAUUGAAAUGACAUUGCAAAGAAAAUUAAGCCAUCAUGAUUUAUUGCUAAUACUGGAAAGCUUUUGCAAAACUGGAAGGGGAAUCAAAUGAAAAACAUCAAAAGGAUGGUUUUGUUCAAUAAACAAGGUAAAUAGCAGCUACCCUUCAACCAACGCUAACAUGCUGCUUAGCUGUCCAGGACUGCUUGGGUUCUAGCUUGACAUUUCCAAUCUGGGCAUUUUCAACACAAACAAAAUCUUUGUAACAUGCUUCCAUCUGUAGAUGUGGAUUCCACAGUACAGUAUCUGACCAAUUUUUAUUCUUGAUGGUUAUUACAUCACCCAAGCCAUUAUCAAGUUGCAGCUCAUCAGGCGCAUCAAGGUAAAUGCAAUCUACAAAGCCAGGGAAAGUGACCACAUCCCUGUCCUCUUUGCCCUCCAUCGGAUUGUUAGGAUCUGGAUCUUUAUUAAGUGUUUUGCAACCUUUCAAACCUUUUACAGAUGCUGCAGUCACAGAAGCACUGAAAUAUGAAUGUAGAGCUGCAGUAAAUGAAAACGGCUUGCUAUCUGUAUUUGUAAUCUUCAGUUCUGUGGAAAUGCUUUUUGCAUUAAGAAUGACCUUGUAUAAAGCCUGGAAACCAAAGUCCCACAUAGAAUGACUGUAAGGACCGUCCUUGAGCAUGAGAGUGACAGCAGGAUUGCCCUCCACAUUUUCGGAAUCAAUAACAGACCAAUCCAUAUUCCUUGCAAAUCCAUGCUGUUAAGUACAAAUGCCACCCAAAGCAUUAAAAAAAUGAUAAAAUGAAAAUAAAGAUCAAGACAGACGAAACCAGCCAAAGCUCUCACAAGAGAUAUAGACACAAGCUUUCACUAUUAUAGAGUAAUAGGAUGAACAUUGAUCAUCAUUUACUCCUACCAAGAAAACCAUAAAUCUCAAUAGCAGAACUAAAUAGCAGCAAAGAUUUCACUGCUAGCUUUACUGCAAUUACUGACAAACACAUUAAAUGGGCAAGAGGAAGAAAAAGGAAUGCCGGAAAUGAGAAUUAGAACAGUGAAAAAAAGGAAUACCUGCUGAAUACUACCAGGUCCAAACUGUGGGAAACAAUGUGGAAUUCCUCCACUAAUUCCAAUAAAGAUAUAAUCAGUACGUGAACUGGGAAGACAAUUGAAUCCAUAAAAACCAAAACACAAGAAAGAAGUUAAAAUUUGAAGAACCUUAUUGGUUUUUUCUUGUUAAAUACAGCAUCUGGUCUAACAAAAAGGAGGUCCUUCCCGCUGGGAACUUUCCAAGAUGUGAUGCAACCUCCAAAUAAAUAUAUCUCUGCCUCACUACCAUGAGGAGAAGUGAGCACAACCUUUGGCAAGCUACCUUCACCUUCAGUGACCCUUACUCCUACAGUCCCAGUUUCUUUGUUCACACUCGCAAAUGCCAUGCCAGAGUAUUUGUAUGGCCCGUUGACUCGGCGGAGAUUAAGAGCAGGUGUAGAAGAAAAAGGCAUAGAAAGCAUCGCCAUUGCGAAAAGGUCGGUGGCGGAGCUGAGCCCCUUUCAAGAACCCGUCUGGUCGUUUAUGUCCGUUACAGUUGUCACCAUUGGUCGUCUUCGCUAUUCCCUAUAUUCGCAUAUUCUUUUCGAUCCAUAUUGUUUUCCCCACUAGAAAAAAGA
rnacentral:misc_RNA from 1 species